AAAACAUCUUUUAUUGUUAUUUAUUUUAGAUAUGGCCUGCCCAUUGAUUAUUAAUUGAAUGGCCGCGGUAUCUUGACCGUGCAAAGGUAGCAUAAUCAUUAGUUUAUUAAUUGUAAACUUGUAUGAAUGGUUUGACGAAACAAUAGCUUUCUUUUUUAUAUAAGUUGAAUUUAAAUAUUAAGUUAAAAUGCUUAGAUUUAUUUACUAGACGAGAAGACCCUAUAGAUCUUUAUUAUUUAUGUUUUGAUUUGGUUUAGACUGUAUUAUUUAUUAUGAUUAUAUAAUUUUGUUGGGGUGAUAUUAGAAUUUAUUUAACUUCUAAUUUUUUUAUACAUUUAUUUUUGUUUAUUUGAAUUUAUUUUAUUAUUUUAAGAUUUAGAUACCUUAGGGAUAACAGCGUAAUUUCUUUUGAGAGUUCUUAUUGACAAUGAAGAUUGCGACCUCGAUGUUGGAUUAAGAUUAUUAUUAGGUGUAGGUGCUUAAUUUAAUAGGUCUGUUCGACCUUUAAAAUCUUACAUGAUCUGA
rnacentral:rRNA from 1 species